rnacentral:rRNA from 1 species
AGUGAACGCUGGCGGCAGGCCUAAUACAUGCAAGUCGAACGGCAGCACAGUGGAGCUUGCUCCAUGGUGGCGAGUGGCGGACGGGUGAGGAAUACAUGGGAAUCUGCCCAGUCGUGGGGGAUAACGUAUGGAAACGUACGCUAAUACCGCAUGCGCCCUUUCGGGGGAAAGUCGAGGACCGCAAGGCCUGACGCGAUUGGAUGAGCCCAUGUUCGAUUAGCUAGUUGGCGGGUAACGGCCCACCAAGGCGACGAUCGAUAGCUGGUCUGAGAGGAUGAUCAGCCACACUGGAACUGAGACACGGUCCAGACUCCUACGGGAGCAGUCAGUAGGGAAUACUUGGACAAUGGGCGCAAGCCUGAUCCAGCCAUGCCGCGUGAGUGAAGAAGG